UCGGUAAUUCCAGCUCCAAUAGCGUAUAUUAAAGUUGUUGCAGUUAAAAAGCUCGUAGUUGGAUUUCUGACAGCGCAGACCUCCCUCUCCAAGCCCUCUGCUUUCCUUCCUUCUGGGGAGGUUUGUGGGGGGAGAUGGGUGGGAAACGACGCGGUGUCAUCCUCUCGGAGACGUCAUGUGCUCUUAAUUGGGUGUGUGAGCCGGAUCCGGGAUCUUUACUUUGAAAAAAUUAGAGUGUUCAAAGCAGGCCUUCGCUUGAAUACAUUAGCAUGGAAUAAUAGAAUAGGACUUUGGUUCUGUUUUGUUGGUUUAUAGGACCGAAGUAAUGAUUAAUAGGGAUAGUUGGGGGCAUUAGUAUUUAAUUGUCAGAGGUGAAAUUCUUGGAUUUAUGAAAGACUAACAUCUGCGAAAGCAUUUGCCAAGGAUGUUUUCAUUAAUCAAGAACGAAGGUUAGGGGAUCGAAGACGAUCAGAUACCGUCGUAGUCUUAACCAUAAACUAUGCCGACUAGGGAUCGGUGGGUUCAUUUUAUAGGCCCAUCGGCACCUUAUGGGAAACCAAAGUUUUUGGGUUCCGGGGGGAGUAUGGUCGCAAGGCUGAAACUUAAAGGAGUUGACGGAAGGGCACCACCAGGAGUGGAGCCUGCGGCUUAAUUUGACCCAACACGGGAAAACUCACCAGGUCCAGACAUAGGAAGGAUUGACAGAUUGAGAGCUCUUUCUUGAUUCUAUGGUUGGUGGUGCAUGGCCGUUCUUAGUUGGUGGAGUGAUUUGUCUGGUUAAUUCCGUUAACGAACGAGACCUUAACCUGCUAAAUAGAGUUGCGAUUCUCGAAUCGUAGACUACUUCUUAGAGGGACUAUCGGCGUUUAGUCGGUGGAAGUUUGAGGCAAUAACAGGUCUGUGAUGCCCUUAGAUGUUCUGGGCUGCACGCGCGCUACACUGACGAGAGCAACGAGUGUACCUGCUCUGGAAAGAGUGGGCAAUCUUUUGAAAUCUCGUCGUGAUGGGGAUAGAUCUUUGUAAUUAUCGAUCUUGAGCGAGGAAUUCCUAGUAAGCGCGAUUCAUCAAAUCGCGUUGAUUACGUCCCUGCCCUUUGUACACACCGCCCGUCGCUACUACCGAUUGAAUGGUUUAGUGAGGCCUCGGGAUUGACUAAUGGGAGUUAGCAAUAACUCCCUAUUGUUCGAGAACUUGGUCAAACUUGAUCAUUUAGAGGAAGUAAAAGUCGUAACAAGGUAGCCGUA
rnacentral:rRNA from 1 species